AUUGAACGCUGGCGGAAUGCUUUACACAUGCAAGUCGAACGGCAGCACGGGGGCGAACCCUGGUGGCGAGUGGCGCACGGGUGAGUAAUACAUCGGAACGUGUCCUAGGGUGGGGAGUAGCCGCGAAGCCGGAUUAAUACCGCAUACGCUCGAAAGAGGAAAGUAGGGGAGUCGUAAGAUCUCACGCCCAACGGAGCGGCCGAUGCCGGAUUAGCUUGUUGGUGAGGUAAAGACUCACCAAGGCGACGAUCCGUAGCUGGUCUGAGAGGACGACCAGCCACACUGGGACUGAGACACGGCCCA
rnacentral:rRNA from 1 species